rnacentral:rRNA from 1 species
CCUACGGGGCGCAGCAGUAGGGAAUAUUGCUCAAUGGGGGAAACCCUGAAGCAGCAACGCCGCGUGGAGGAUGAAGGUUUUAGGAUUGUAAACUCCUUUUGUGAGGGAAGAUAAAGACGGUAGCUCACGAAUAAGCACCGGCUAACUCCGUGCCCACAGCCGCGGUAAUACGGAGGGGGCAAGCGUUACUCGGAAUCACUGGGCGUAAAGCGGGUGCAGGCGGGCUUGUAAGUCAGAUGUGAAAUCCUGUGGCUUAACUACAGAACUGCAUUUGAAACUAUGAGUCUAGAGUGUGGGAGAGGUAGGUGGAAUGCUUGGUGUAGCGGUGAAAUGCGUAGAUAUCAAGAGGAAUACUGAUUGCGAAGGCGACCUACUGGAACAUUACUGACGCUCAUGCACGAAAGCGUGGGGAGCAAACAGGAUUAGAUACCCGAGUAGUC